rnacentral:rRNA from 1 species
GACGAACGCUGGCGGCGUGCUUAACACAUGCAAGUCGAACGGUAAGGCCCUUCGGGGUACACGAGUGGCGAACGGGUGAGUAACACGUGGGUGAUCUGCCCUGCACUUCGGGAUAAGCCUGGGAAACUGGGUCUAAUACCGGAUAGGACCACUGCCUGCAUGGGUGGUGGUGGAAAGCUUUUGCGGUGUGGGAUGGGCCCGCGGCCUAUCAGCUUGUUGGUGGGGUGAUGGCCUACCAAGGCGACGACGGGUAGCCGGCCUGAGAGGGUGACCGGCCAGACUGGGAGUGAGGUACGGCCCAGACUCAUACGGGAGGCAGCAGUGGGGAAUAUUGCACGAUGGGCGCAAGCCUGAUGCCGCGACGCCGCGUGAGGGAUGACGGCCUUCGGGUUGUAAACCUCUUUCAGCACCGACGAAGCGCAAGUGACGGUAGGUGCAGAAGAAGGACCGGCCAACUACGUGCCAGCCGCCGCGGUAA